UACGGAGGAUCCGAGCGUUAUCCGGAAUUAUUGGGUUUAAAGGGUGCGUAGGCGGCCAUUUAAGUCAGCGGUGAAAUUUUGCAGCUUAACUGUAACAGUGCCGUUGAUACUGGGGAGCUAGGAUUUGGUUGCUGUGGGUGGAAUGUGUAAUGUAGCGGUGAAAUGCUUAGAUAUUACACAGAACACCAAUUGCGUAGGCAGCUUACUGAGCCGACACUGACGCUGAGGCACGAAAGCGUGGGGAUCAAACAGGAUUAGAUA
rnacentral:rRNA from 1 species